rnacentral:rRNA from 1 species
UACGGAAGGCAGCAGUGGGGAAUAUUGCACAAUGGGCGCAAGCCUGAUGCAGCCAUGCCGCGUGUAUGAAGAAGGCCUUCGGGUUGUAAAGUACUUUCAGUCGUGAGGAAGGUGUUAAGGUUAAUAACCUUAGCAAUUGACGUUAGCGACAGAAGAAGCACCGGCUAACUCCGUGCCAGCAGCCGCGGUAAUACGGAGGGUGCGAGCGUUAAUCGGAAUUACUGGGCGUAAAGGGCACGCAGGCGGUUAAUUAAGUUGGAUGUGAAAUCCCCGGGCUUAACCGGGGAAUGGCAUUCAAGACUGGUUAGCUAGAGUCUUGUAGAGGGGGUAGAAUUCCAUGUGUAGCGGUGAAAUGCGUAGAGAUGUGGAGGAAUACCGGUGGCGAAGGCGGCCCCUGGACAAAGACUGACGCUCAUGUGCGAAAGCGUGGGGAGCAAAC